rnacentral:misc_RNA from 1 species
GCAAUUUAUUUCUGCAAUGCUAUGGGCUUCCCACAUCCAUACUUCUUGGUUGAUAAACUAGACCAUUAUGUUUCACUUCUGCAGACUUUAAAACAUCAGGGAUUAGAUUCACACAUGAACUAUUUUCACAAGACCUAAAACUUAAUUGUUUUUGCUUUCAAUAGCACUCUGUUUCACUUCUGCAGACUUCAAAACAAUAGGGAUUAGAUUCACACAUGAAAGUUUUCAUAAGUACCAAAACUUUGUUUCUUCAUACAUUUUAGAAAUGCU